UUUCCGUAGGUGAACCUGCGGAGGGAUCAUUAUUGAAUAACAGAGGUGCGAGGCCUUUGGGUGAGACGCUACGUCUUGCACGCGCGAGUGCCCUCACACGCAUCCAUCUCACCCCUGUAUGCACCACCACGUGUACCACCCUUUGACUUGUUCGCAGGGGUGCGUACGUUAUCACUAAGACUAAAUUUUCAGUAAAGGAUGUAUUUUUUGUGUUUGCGAUGACGCAAUCAAUACAACUUUCGACAACGCAUCUCUUGGCUCGCGCAACGAAGACGAACC
rnacentral:misc_RNA from 1 species